UACGGAGGGUGCAAGCGUUAAUCGGAAUCACUGGGCGUAAAGCGCGCGUAGGCGGCUUUGUAAGUCAGGGGUGAAAUCCCACGGCCCACCCGUGGAACUGCCUUUGAUACUGCAUUGCUUGAGUGUGUGAGAGGAUAGCGGAAUUCCUGGUGUAGGAGUGAAAUCCGUAGAGAUCAGGAGGAACAUCAGUGGCGAAGGCGGCUAUCUGGCACAAUACUGACGCUGAGGUG
rnacentral:rRNA from 1 species